CACCCGUCCGUCUCCCGCGGGCAUCCCGCCCCUGGGUACCCGGCCCGGUCCCCCUCCCGUCGAUGUCUCCGGGGCACCGCUCCCGGCCCAGCUCCCCAGUCCCCAGCCGCUGCCCCGUUGUGCAUUAGCCCCUCGGGGAGCGAGCUAGCCCUCCCGGACGGCCGGCCACGGGGGCGGGGGGGGAGAAGGGAGCCAGCCCGCCUCCGGGAGCUGAUGCCAACAUGUCAGCUCCCAGCAGGAAAAGUUCUGGGAGACCGUCCUACUACUACCGCCUGCUCAGGAGGUCCCGCCUGCAGAGACAGAGGAGCCGAUCGCGCAGCCGGAACAGGCCGGCCAGCAGGGAGUCACCCCAGGAAAGGCCAGGCCAGAGGCGCAGCAUGCCCAGCGGCCUCUCUGAGAAGACCCCCAGCAUGGAGCCCUCCCCCACCACGCCAUUCCGGGUCACGGGGUUUCUCAGCCGGCGGCUCAAAGGCUCCAUCAAAAGGACAAAGAGCCAGCCGAAGCUUGACCGGAACAACAGCUUCCGCCACAUUCUACCUGGGUUCAGGAGCGUGGACAAUGAAAGAUCCCAUCUGAUGCCGAGACUGAAAGAAUCGCGGUCUCACGAGUCUUUGCUCAGCCCUAGCAGUGCCGUGGAGGCCCUGGAUCUCAGCAUGGAGGAAGAGGUGGUGAUCAGACCUGUUCACAGCAGCAUUCUGGGCCAGGACUAUUGCUUUGAGGUGACUACAUCCUCGGGGAGUAAAUGCUUUUCCUGUCGGUCUGCGGCCGAACGAGACAAAUGGAUGGAAAACCUGCGGCGGGCGGUGCACCCAAACAAGGACAACAGCCGGAGGGUGGAACACAUGCUGAAACUGUGGAUUAUCGAGGCCAAGGACCUUCCGGCGAAGAAGAAAUACUUGUGUGAACUGUGCCUGGAUGACGUCCUGUAUGCACGGACUACCUGCAAGUUGAAGACGGACAAUGUCUUCUGGGGGGAGCACUUUGAGUUUAACAACCUGCCGUCCCUCAAGAACAUCACGGUGCACCUGUACAAGGAGACGGACAAGAAGAAGAAGAAGGACAAAAACAAUUACAUUGGUCUGGUGAACCUGGCAGUGGGCUCGGUCUCAGGGCGGCAGUUUAUCGAGAAGUGGUACCCGGUGGUCACCCCGCCCAACAAGGGCAAGGCCCCAGGCCCCAUGAUUCGCAUCAAGUCCCGCUACCAGACCAUGAGCAUCCUGCCCAUGGAGAUGUACAAGGAGUUUGCCGAGUACAUCACCAACAACUACCUGGUGCUCUGCUCCGUGCUGGAGCCCAUGCUGAGCGUGAAAAACAAGGAGGAGAUGGCUUCGGCACUGGUGCAUAUUCUGCAGAGCACUGGGAAGGCAAAGGACUUCCUGACAGACCUGAUGAUGUCAGAGGUGGACCGCUGCGGGGAGAACGAGCAUCUCAUCUUCCGGGAGAACACGCUGGCCACCAAAGCCAUUGAGGAGUAUCUCAAGCUGGUGGGGCAGAAGUACCUGCAGGAUGCCCUGGGGGAGUUUAUCAAGGCGCUGUAUGAGUCAGAUGAGAACUGUGAGGUCGACCCUGGCAAGUGCUCCUCCUCUGACCUUCUCGAGCACCAGAGCAACCUGAAGAUGUGCUGCGAGCUGGCCUUCUGCAAGAUCAUCAACUCUUACUGCGUCUUUCCGAGAGAGCUGAAGGAAGUGUUUGCUUCCUGGAGGCAGGAGUGCAGCAACCGGGGCCGUCCAGACAUCAGCGAGAGACUCAUCAGUGCCUCCCUGUUCCUGCGCUUCCUCUGCCCUGCCAUCAUGUCCCCGUCACUGUUCCACCUCCUGCAGGAGUACCCAGAUGACCGCACGGCCCGCACUUUGACCCUGAUCGCCAAGGUCACCCAGAACCUCGCCAACUUUGCCAAGUUUGGCAGCAAGGAGGAGUACAUGUCCUUCAUGAAUCAGUUCCUGGAGCACGAGUGGACCAACAUGCAGCGGUUCCUGCUAGAGAUCUCCAACCCCGAGACCAUCUCCAACACGGCUGGCUUCGAGGGCUAUAUUGACCUGGGCCGCGAGCUGUCCACCCUCCACUCCCUCCUUUGGGAGGUCAUUUCCCAGCUGGACCAGGCCACGGUGACCAAGCUCGGGCCCCUGCCUCGAAUCCUGAGGGACGUCAACACGGCCCUGAGCAGCCCGGCAAGCGUGCAGGUGUCGGUCACUGCCGACCCCAUGGCCUCCACGCCCAAUGCCAGCAGCAGCAGCAGCAUCUCUGCCGGCCUGCAGAAAAUGGUCAUCGAGAACGACCUCUCUGGUCUGAUAGAUUUCACCCGGUUACCAUCUCCCACCCCCGAAAACAAGGACUUAUUUUUUGUCACAAGGUCUUCGGGGGUUCAGCCCUCCCCUGCCCGGAGCUCCAGCUACUCGGAGGCCAACGAGCCCGACGUCCAGAUGUCCAACGGCAGCAAAAGCCUGUCCAUGGUGGACCUGCAGGACAACCGGAUUUUGGACAGUGGAGCUGCCGCCGCCCCCGGGGCCCUGCCGGACUCCCUCAACGACAGCCAGUCCUCGGUGGGGCCGCCGCAGCAAGGCGGUUGGCCGGGCCGGACACCCCAGAACAGUGUCCCCAGCACAGCCACGGUCCGGCGGGCCGGGCAGACCCCCACCACACCCAACACAGAGGGUGCCCCCGGACGGCCCCAGCUGCUGGCUCCCCUCUCCUUCCAAAACCCCGUGUAUCAGAUGGCAGCGGGCCUGCCUCUCUCCCCGCGGGGCCUGGGGGACUCGAGCUCCGAGUGUCACAGCUCGCUCAGCUCUCACAGCAACAGCGAGGAGCUGGCGGCCAGCAAGCACGGCGGCUUCGUCAACCCCGGCGCGGGCGAGGACCUGGCCCGGCGCCCAGGGGAGCUGGCCCGGAGGCAGAUGUCAUUGGCGGACAAGGGCGGCCAGCCCACCGUGCCACGUCAGAACAGCGCUGGUCCCCAGCGGCGGAUAGACCAACCGCCCCCACCCCCACCACCGCCACCACCCGGCUCCCGUGGCCGGACCCCGCCCUCGCUCCUGAGCACCGCGCAGUACCCGCGGCCCUCGGGCGGGAGCCUGAUGUCGUCCUCCCCCGACUGGCCAGGCCCCGGGGGGCGACUCCGCCAGCAAUCAUCGUCCUCGAAGGGCGAUAGCCCAGAGCUGAAACAGCGCACCAUGCACAGGCAGGCCCCUUCUCCUGUGAAUCCCAAUGCCCUGGACCGCACUGCCGCUUGGCUUUUGAAUAUGAACAUGCAGUUUUUAGAAGAUGAGAGCAUUGACCCAGAGCCCAAGCACAGGGAUAAGCUCAGGAGUCAGGACGAACUCAGCCAAGCAGAAAAGUACCAGCAGGACAUUGUGGUGCUGCAAGACAAGCUCCGCCUCUCCAACAAGAAACUGGAGGAGUAUGAGAGCCGGUUCAAAUGCCAGGAGGAGACCACGCAGAAGCUAAUGCUGGAGUAUCAGGCUAGGCUGGAGGAGGGCGAGGAGCGCCUGCGGCGGCAGCAGGAAGACAAAGAGAUCCAGAUGAAGGGCAUAAUCAGCAGGUUAAUGUCUGUGGAGGAAGAGUUAAAGAAAGACCACGCUGAGAUGCAGGCGGCCGUGGAUUCCAAACAGAAGAUUAUCGAUGCUCAGGAGAAGCGCAUUGCCUCCCUGGACGCCGCCAAUGCCCGCCUGAUGAGCGCCCUCAGCCAGCUGAAAGAGAGGUACAGCAUGCAGACCCGUAACGGCCUCUCCCCCACAAACCCAACCAAAUUGCAGAUUACAGAAAAUGGAGAAUUCAGAAACAGCAGCAAUUGCUGAGCCCGGAGGGAGGAGCCGCCGCCACCGCCACCGCCAACACCGCCGUUGCCGCCGCAGGGCUGGGGGAGAAAACCCAACCCCCUCCCACCCCGCCCCCCGCCCCCAGGAUCUCCAGCCGCCGGCAUCCGGGGCAGCAGGCGCGGGUGGGGACGGGAUGGCUGCUCCGGAGAAUGGCUCAGCUCCCCCUCCCGCCCCCGCAAGAGAGCAGCCGGGAUGGGACCCGGCCCCACGGCUGGUGUGACUGGCGCGUCCCUGGCGAGCAUCCGGGGCGAGGCGGAAAGUGCGGGCGCUGGGAGCCGUCGAGUGGCCCGGGCUGACUACCGCACUAAAGCUAACAGAUGUUCUAUUUGGAUAUAAAAACCCAACCCACACUGUGUCACUGUCGGUGGAUUGAUUUCCGUACUUCCCUUUUCUAUAGCCAAAGGGGCUCCCUCCAAAUUCUCCCAUAACGCCCCGAUUAUCUGCUGGGGCCAAGAAAUGGUUUUCGGAAAGCAAGUUUCCAUGAGCUUUCUCCUUCCACUCCCCAUCUCUCCCUGGCUCUCUCCGGCCUUGCCGUGGCGCCACAGCUAGCCAAUUAUGGCUGGAGAGGCAGUAUGCAUUAGAACAAAAAAAGCUCGUUUUCUGGAGUUCAGGCCUCUCUAAAUUGAGAGCACGCGCACUGCAUGGAAAUUAACAGCCUUGAAGGAUGUAAAACAUGAUCACACCUCAAGCAGCGCGGCCAGCACCGACAGUCCCCGGGGCGCACACGGUUGAGAGUGCGCGAGCUCAUCUGCUCUCUCUCAGGCAGGGCCUGCCCGGGCAUGUGUGGGCACUGCUGGCUCGGGAGAUUCCCCUGCAUCGGGGACACACUGCCUGCCCGGUGCCACGGUGGGUGGGGGGCAUCAUUUCAUUCAUUUUUGUUUUUUUACAUUUUAUUUUGUGUGGAUCUUUUGGGAAUUUAAGUUAGACCCCCUUCCCUCCACCCCAAUCCACACCCCAUGUAGGGACCAGGGACUUAGCUGAAUCCUAGGAGAGAUGCCCAGCAUGGGCGCCACACACCCUCUUGUCCAUGGUGCAUAUUUGGGCCCCAGUAAUGUGUCUUCCUCAGAAACGAGAUGCUCUGCCUGCUGGGAGGAACUGUCUGCCCUCGGGCAGCCGGGCAUGUGCUAGCUGAACCAAGAUGGCCAGGGGAGACACUGGAGGAGAGCGGGUGGUUCACCUUACAGGCCGUUCUGCUCUUGCCCCUCCUUCCCUCCUCUUCCUGGAGACCCACAGUGUUCUCCUGGGGUCCUUGGGUUGGGGCCCAGCAUGUCCCAUCCAGGGCAUGUCCACAUAGCAUCUGUAGGUGGUGGAAGGAGAUCUGGUCUGAUCCUGAGAUGCUCCUGGGAAGACAAGCAGACACCACAUUCCCAGGCCAAGUUAAGGAGAAGCUGAAACUCUCAGUGCAGAUUGUAUUUUUCCAGACUCUGCCCCAGCUGGCUUUGAAGAAACUCAUCAGGCAUGUCAUGAUGUUAGGCAGGCCAUGGGAAACCAGACUCAGCAAGGUUAGGAAUAGCCAGGAUACCACAGACAAUUUGAUGCAUGAACCUCCCCUCAGUAGUGUCAGCCACCUCAUUAAAAUCCUCCAAAAGACUUUUGGGACCAGUGUGACUCAGAGAGGGAGCAGCAGGCCCUGGGUGUCUUAAAGGGUUUUUUCCAUGUUGAGUGAUUUUUCAGGAGAGGACUGAUUUCACCAUCUCCAGAAGUUUGACAAGCCUGGAAUGAGGGUGGAGUUGGGAGAGAGAAGGAAAAAAGCAAACCUCUGGGAGAUUUGGGCCUGGAAGAAGUGCAUCCAAGCAUAUGUGAAAAAUUUUAGUUGCCUCUUAGGUGACUUAAAGGACAAUUUGGAAGAGACUGAGGCCAGUGAAACACCCCCCUCCCAUCUCUAUUCCCCCUCUCUGCCUCUUAUUUCCACCUCUCCCUACCCUGAAAGGUCUCAUUAUUUCUCAACCCAUCAAAUGUAGCAAAGGGGUCAUUCACUUUCUAACAUAAGACACAUAUCACCUGACGAGGAGGCUCACAACCUAUGGGACUGAUACAAACCAUUGAGGAUGAUGCAUAGAUUCUCUUGGUGGGUGUGUGUGUUUGUGUGUGUGUGUGCUUUGUUCCUAUAACAGUCAUAAUAUUUCUGUUCCUGCAACCAAAGGGAUUUUCUUUGUUAUUUAUAAGCACUGUUUUUUGUUUUUGAAAAAGGGAAGUUUUCCAUCCUG